AAGUUGUUUUACCUACAUGUAGAUGUAACGGAAAGGCCUGGGAAGUUGCGAUACAUACAUGUAAUUAUGUUAUAUGUCCAAUUUGUUAUGAAUUUUUAAUUCAUCCUCGACUUCGAUAAAUAAGUGAUACAUAGAUAAAUUAUUGAUCAAUAUUUUUUUAUAGAAAGAAAUUUAAUGAUUAGCAGUUAACAUAUUUUCGAUGUUUUAGAAUAAUUCUUCUAUACACAAUCUGUGAUAAAUUAGAUAACAAAUGUCAAUAGUGUUGAUCUUCCAUCAUUUCUAUGUUUCAGACCAAGAGCCACCAGACGAAAAGUGAGAAAUCUCCCCCCGCCAGACCGAGAGGGCAUUUGAAGAAAUUAUCUAUACCUUCUAUGUGUACAAUUUGACAUUGAUAAAAUACUAAAAAUCAAUAAAUAAGAUUUAUCCUC
rnacentral:misc_RNA from 1 species